rnacentral:misc_RNA from 1 species
CUCAGGGACUUGCUACGGUCGGGUACGACGACGAAGGCGUUCAGGGACAAAAAUGGUAUCUCGUCAAAGACGGCGUCUUUGUCGAUUGGCAGACGACGCGUGAUCUUGCGCCGCUAAUCGGUAAAAAACAUUCGUACGGAUGCCUUCACGCCGACAGCUGGGGCAGCGUUCCUUUUCCGCGAAUGCCGAAUGUUUCGCUCGAGCCGGCGAAAGAAAAUAUCUCUGCCGCAGAUCUGAUCAGCGGCGUCGAAAACGGAAUUAUGAUCCACGGUCGCGGGAGCUAUUCGAUCGACCAGCAGCGCUAUAAUUUCCAAUUCGGCGGACAGACGUUUUGGGAAAUCAAAAACGGGAAAGUCCGCGGGAUGUUAAAAGACGUU